rnacentral:rRNA from 1 species
UACGGAGGAGGCAAGCGUUAUCCGGAAUUAUUGGGCGUAAAGCGUCCGCAGGUGGCACUUCAAGUCUGUCGUCAAAGACUGGGGCUUAACCCUGGAAAGGCGGUGGAAACUGAAGCGCUAGAGUGCGGUAGGGGUAGAGGGAAUUCCCGGUGUAGCGGUGGAAUGCGUAGAGAUCGGGAAGAACAUCGGUGGCGAAGGCGCUCUACUGGACCGCAACUGACACUCAGGGACGAAAGCUAGGGGAGCGAAUGGG